CAUAUUAUACCAGUACGUUGAGCCUAGAACAGUAUGCGUCGAGAGUAAUUUUGAGGUAUGAAGCCUGUUCGGCAGUUCGGCAAUGCAUAUAAAAGUUUAACUAAAAACUUGAUACUGUUUGGCUAGGCAUUCAUGGACAAUGUAAGUGAAUUCACGGUAGAAGCG
rfam:Rhizophagus irregularis DAOM 181602 strain DAOM 197198 GLOINscaffold_3324_Cont3324, whole genome shotgun sequence.